GCGGUGGUGGCUCAGUGGUAAAAUUCCUGCCUUCCAUGCAGGAGACCCAGGUUCAAUUCCCAGCCAGUGCA
rnacentral:tRNA from 1 species